UGAUAUGAUGGUCACCUAUUCUCAUUUUUAUGUCUUUUCUCUUUUUCUUCUUUUUCCUAAAUUUUUCCUGGACUAGUUCUUUUGAAGUCUCAGUCCACCGGGAAGCCCUAGUUUUUACCUAAGUCGACUUCUUGGUGUUUGAAUUAGCAAGAUUUUUAUUCUUUUUUUAUUUUUAUUUUUCUAAACAAUGUAUGCGACAUGUGUUCUUUUUUGUUUGAACAUGACAGUGGUUAUCGGGUCCUUG
rnacentral:lncRNA from 1 species